rnacentral:lncRNA from 1 species
UCAAGGCCAACACUCAAACUAUGUUAAUUACUAACAUAGUUUUAUCUUGAUCAUUAUAUCAUUAACUUAAUUCAUCAUUCCUCUUGCUAAAAUAUAUAUAGCACCUUACUAAGUAUAUAUAUUUCUAUACAUAUACUCAUCUUCGUUUAACCUCAUAGCAUCUCUUCAUGUGAAAUCUUAUCUCCAAUAAUAAAAUUUCCAUAUGUACUUAUAUAACAUUUUUUUAGACUAUUCCGUUCACAUCGAAUUUAAAGGUAUCGUAAUACCUUAUUCUUAAUAUUCCUUCAAGUACAUAUUAAUUCAUUUCUAGGGUUUUGGAAUUUUGUAACCCAUAUUUCCUCUAUUCUUAUUCGAAUAGCAAACCAUAUAGGUUUUACUUGAAAAAUUUUAAAUAAAUCCUCAAAUUCUCAUCUAGGUUUUAUUCUUUAACCUUUAUUCUAAUCAUUCAAGAUUUUAGAAAUUUUUGG